rnacentral:tRNA from 1 species
GCCUGAGUGGCUCAGUCGGUUGAGCAUCUGAUUUUGGCUCAGGUCAUCAUCUCGCGGUUUGUGAGUUCAAGCCGCACAUCGGGCU